GACGAACGCUGGCGGCGUGCUUAACACAUGCAAGUCGAACGGAAAGGCCCUGCUUUUGUGGGGUGCUCGAGUGGCGAACGGGUGAGUAACACGUGAGUAACCUGCCCUUGACUUUGGGAUAACUUCAGGAAACUGGGGCUAAUACCGGAUAGGAGCUCCUGCUGCAUGGUGGGGGUUGGAAAGUUUCGGCGGUUGGGGAUGGACUCGCGGCUUAUCAGCUUGUUGGUGGGGUAGUGGCUUACCAAGGCUUUGACGGGUAGCCGGCCUGAGAGGGUGACCGGCCACAUUGGGACUGAGAUAAGGCCCAGACUCCUACGGGAGGCAGCAGUGGGGAAUAUUGCACAAUGGGCGGAAGCCUGAUGCAGCAACGCCGCGUGCGGGAUGACGGCCUUUGGGUUGUAAACCGCUUUCGCCUGGGACGAAGCGUGAGUGACGGUAAUGGGUAAAGAAGCACCGGCUAACUACGUG
rnacentral:rRNA from 1 species